UUUUUCUUUUUCUUCUUUUUCUUCUUUUUCUUCUUUUUCUCUCCUUCUUCCUCCGUUUCUCUUCUCUUCUUUCUGCGCUAGCAUCAGCCACCCACCAUCUUCUUCCUCUUUCCUUUCCGUUGCAGCCGUCGCCACCCCCUUCCUCUCCUCUUCUCCGUUCGUCCACUACAGCCGCCGCACAGUCCAUUUGCCCCUGCCUCCGUCCGACCUUGUCCGCCCACAACCGUCGUGUCUCUCCGCCCACAACCGUCGCGCCUCCGUCUGAAAUCAAGCCGUCGUCCAGAUCUGCGAAGUCGCCACACCUUCGUCUGUGCCGGUCUUCAUCGCGAAAUCAGCCGUUCUAAUCUGCCUUGCACGCUGUUGCUUGGGUCGACUGGUGCACUAACGUUUCUGCAUUGCCACGAAGAAUAUUGGGUUUUUGUGGUGUCAAUUGUGGACAGUGUUUGAAUUUUUGGGUUCACCAAAGUUGCUUCGAGUCCAAUACUCUAUUUAAUUUGAGUUCGUUCGUUGCAUUGUAGUUUGAAAAAAGAGGUUAAGUAAGGUUAAGGCAAAAGUAACAAGGGUGACAAACUGACGAGGGACAGGAAGGAAGCGUGACUACCAUAGGGAAUAUGUCAUUUUUGCUUCCGCUUUAUGUUUUUGAUGUUUAAAACAUUGUGAUGUAACUGAGCUUACGAACUACUUUUUUUUUGUAAACAGUACUUUUAAAGUUUUGAAUAUUUGAAAUCGAGCCCGACUUAAAUUUUUUUUCCUCGAUUGUAUUUUUUUGGGUCGUUACAGUUGGUAUCAGAGCCUAAGUUUUAGGCUCUGUAGACUAACUUGUGAUGCAAGUCUAUGUUUUGUGUCUCUAUGGCUAACGCGACCCUUCGUCUCUCGUCAGGAAUUAUGCCGCUAAAGAGGGGUGUUCGUAGAGGAGGUCGUAGAGGUCGAGGUAGAGGAGCAGGUCGUAAUCAACCUGCUGAGGGUCAAGCUGAUCAGCAAAUUCCUGCUGCACUAGUGACUCACACCUAGUUUAGUGAUACAACACCUACGUUUAGAAGGUAGUAUGUCCAAAGAAAGAUCAUCCAUUAAUAUGAUCAAGUUAAGCGAUCACAACAUUGCACUUAAUUAUCUGUAGACGAUCUUAGAGUGAUAACCAUAGAGCUUAGCUCAUCUACGCACCUAAACUCCUUUUAGAUGCGAGAAUUGACUCUCUUUGUGUACUUAGGCUCCAUCUAAGUAUGAUGAUGUUAAUAGUGUAGACUUAGGCCUUCCCUUAUGUAUGUGAAACUUCAUCUUACUUGAGGUUAUUGUUCCUUCUUCUUCUUGUGAAACUCCCUUCACUUGAGAAAUUUAUGCUUUUCUAAGUGUACGAGAACUUCCUUGUCAUGAGAAUGUGUGCCCUUAAAUCCUCUGAGUUUCAGAAUUACUUCUCGAAUGAUUCAACUUUA